AAAACUCCCAACAACCAAAAGUCCAGGAUCAUAUGGCUUCAUAAGUGAAUUUUACUGAACAUUUAAAGAAGAGGUUAAUAAUAUUCUU